CCUAGGGUGGCUGCAGUGAGGAAUAUUGGGCAAUGGACGAGAAUCUGAACCAGCCAAGUAGCGUGAAGGAUGACUGCCCUAUGGGUUGUAAACUUCUUUUAUAUGGGAAUAAAACGUUCCACGUGUGGGAUUUUGUAUGUCCCAUAUGAAUAAGGAUCGGCUAACUCCGUUCCAGCAGCCGCGGUAAUACGGAGGAUCCGAGCGUUAUCCGGAUUUAUUGGGUUUAAAGGGAGCGUAGGUGGAUUGUUAAGUCAGUUGUGAAAGUUUGCGGCUCAACCGUAAAAGUGCAGUUGAAACUGGCAGUCUUGAGUACAGUAGAGGUGGGCGGAAUUCGUGGUGUAGCGGUGAAAUGCUUAGAUAUCACGAAGAACUCCGAUUGCGAAGGCAGUUCACUGGACUGCAACUGACACUGAGGCUCGAAAGUGUGGGUAUCAAACAGGAUUAGAUACCCUAGUAGUC
rnacentral:rRNA from 1 species